GACGAACGCUGGCGGCGUGCCUAAUACAUGCAAGUCGAGCGAAUGAUGAAGAAGCUUGCUUCUUCUGAUUUAGCGGCGGACGGGUGAGUAACACGUGGGCAACCUGCCCUGUAGAUUGGGAUAACUCCGGGAAACCGGGGCUAAUACCGAAUAAUCCAUUUUCUCACAUGAGGAAAUGUUAAAAGACGGUCUCGGCUGUCACUACAGGAUGGGCCCGCGGCGCAUUAGCUAGUUGGUGGGGUAAUGGCUCACCAAGGCGACGAUGCGUAGCCGACCUGAGAGGGUGAUCGGCCACACUGGGACUGAGACACGGCCCAGACUCCUACGGGAGGCUG
rnacentral:rRNA from 1 species